rnacentral:rRNA from 1 species
AACGAACGCUGGCGGCAUGCCUAACACAUGCAAGUCGAACGAGACCUUCGGGUCUAGUUGCGCACGUGUGCGUAACGCGUGGGAAUCUGCCCUUGGGUUCGGAAUAACAGUUGGAAACGACUGCUAAUACCGGAUGAUGACGUAAGUCCAAAGAUUUAUCGCCCUAGGAUGAGCCCGCGUAGGAUUCGCUAGUUGGUGAGGUAAAGGCACACCAAGGCGACGAUCCUUAGCUGGUCUGAGAGGAUGAUCAGCCACACUGGAAAUGAGACACGGCCCAGAAUCCUACGGGAGGCAGCAGUGGGGAAUAUUGGACAAGGGGCGAAAGUCUGAUAAAGCAAUGCCGCGGGAGUGAUGAAGGGCUUAGGGUUGUAAAGCUCUUUUAGCCGGGAUGAUAAUGACAGUACCGGGAGAAUAAGCACCGGCUAACUACGUG